ACUGUGUCCACAUUUGUGUGCAUUCUCAUUUGCACAUUGAUGGCUUUCCUCUCCUAUAAAUACUCGUGAGUAGCAAGCAAAGAAGACAUCCACCACAAGAAGCUAAACACAAGAAAAGAGUGAGAGCUUAAAAAACGAGAGUUUUUUUUUAUAUAAACCAAGAAGGUUUAUAAGAAACUGUGAGGGUUUCAAAAAUAGAGAGAAAAUUUUGUGGGUACUUUCGAGAGAAAGUGAGUAAAAAAAAAUGCUGAGAGAGUAUUUUUUACUUGUAUUUUCUCUAAAACAAUUACUAGUGAAAUUCGCAGCACUGCCUCUGCGCGGGGACGUAGCCUAGUUGGGUGAACCUCGAUAACAAAUUUCUGGCGUAUUUUUUCUUUUUAUUUUGUUUACUGCAAUACUAUCGUUGUAGUGUGGGUAAUUUUUUAUCAACAAUUGGUAUCAGAGCCAGGUUGUCUGACGAUUGUAUUUUUUGAGGAGUAUCGUAACGGAGGCACUGUAGCAGAAGUUCGGUAGCUGGUUA
rnacentral:lncRNA from 1 species